UUCCGGUUGAUCCUGCCGGAGGCUACCGCUAUUGGAGUUCGAUUAAGCCAUGCGAGUCGCGAGUCUUAGGGACUCGGCGUACCGCUCAGUAACACGUGGGUAACCUGCCCUAUGCUGGGGGAUAACCUCGGGAAACUGAGAAUAAUACCCCAUAGUUCACCACGCCUGGAACGGUGGGUGGAUCAAAGCUCCGGCGGCAUAGGAUGGGCCUGCGGCGUAUCAGGUUGUAGGGGGUGUAAUGUACCCUCUAGCCCUCUACGCGUACGGGUGUUGAGAGACAUCGCCCGGAGAUGGAUUCUGAGACACGAAUCCAGACCCUACGGGGUGCAGCAGGCGCGAAAACUUGGCAAUGCGAGAAAUCGUGACCAGGGAACUCCAAGUGCAUCGGGUAAGACCGAUGCUUUUCUUGACUCUUCAAAGGUCUUGGAAUAAGGGGUGGGUAAGGACGGUGCCAGCCGCCGCGGUAAUACCGGCGCCCCAAGUGGUAGUCGCUUUUAUUGGGCCUAAAACGUCCGUAGCCGGUCUGGUACAUUCGUGGGUAAAUCAACCAGCUCAACUGGUUGAAUUCUGCGAGCACGGCCAGACUUGGGACCGGGAGAGGUGUGGGGUACUCUCAGGGUAGGGGUAAAAUCCUGUCAUCCUGAGAGGACCACCUGUUGCGAAGGCGCCACACUAGAACGGAUCCGACGGUCAGGGACGAAGCCUAGGGGCACGAACCGGAUUAGAUACCCGGGUAGUCCUAGGUGUAAACGCUGUGGACUUGAUGUUGGGAGUGCUCCGAGCACCCUCAGUGUCGAAGCGAAGGUGAUAAGUCCACUGCCUGGGGAGUACGGUCGCAAGGCUGAAACUUAAAGGAAUUGGCGGGGGAGCACUGCAACCUGAGGAUUGUGCGGUUUAAUUGGAUUCAACGCCG
rnacentral:rRNA from 1 species